rnacentral:piRNA from 1 species
UGCCAUGAGCAGUGCUAGGCAGCUCU